ACAAGAUAUAAUGAAAAACAACAGAUUUUUUCAAAAAUUGUUUUGUGAUACCACCAGCCCUGCAGCCGCUCAUGCAGGCACCCAGCCUUGCUCAGAGCUGAUUAGUCCUCACUUCAUGAGGCAGGGUCUGGCAGCCAGUUGGGCUGGGGGCCAAACCCACCUACCAGGACACUCAGAGUAGUUGGUUGCCCCACAACAGAAGGGCCCACUCAGCCCACGUAGGGGCACCCCUAGGGCGUAGAGUUCUGGUAUCCAAAGGGGAGUAUGCUAGGCCUACAUCUCCUACGUAGGCCACUUUUCCAAGAUCCAGAAAUGUAACAGGCAAGAUGCAGAAGCAAGCUAAGUGUCCAUCAACUUAAGUGUCCAGAUGAAUGGAUAAAGAAGAUGUACAAUGGAAUAUUACUCAGCCAUAAAAAAGGAAUGAAACCUUGCCAUUUGCAACAACAUGGAUGGAUCUAGAGAGUAUUAGGCUAAGUGAAGUAAGUCAGACAGAGGAAGACAAAUACAGCAUGAUCUCACUUGUAUGAGGAAUCUAAAAAACAAACAAAUAAACAAACAAAACACAAUGAGAACAGACUCAUAGACACAGAGAAUAAAUGGUUGCCAGAAGGGAGGGGAGUGGAGGUGGGGGAAUAGGUGUAGAAGAUUAAGAGGUAUAACCUCUAGUUAUAUAAUGAAAAGUCACAGGGAUGAAGUACACAGCAUAUGGUUAAUAAUUAUUGUGACAACUUUGUAUGAGGACAGAUGGUUACUAGACUUACCAUAGUGAUCAUUUCAUAACGUAUGCCAAUGUCAAAUCACUAUGUAAUACACCUGAAACUAACGUAUUAGUUACAUUUCAAUUUCAACUAUAGUUCAAUAUUUGAAAAUGGCUUCCACUCCUUUGCGAUCUAUUCACCCCCCCAUUUUAAUAGCCAUGUUGGAUGGGUUGCAUGCAUGAGUUCAUUGUAAGGGUGGAUAUCGGCUCAUUAAUGGUGUUUAAAAAUAUUCACGUGCAACUUCCUGAGUUAAUGGUUUCAAACAUUUGAAUUCGUUCAUUGGAAAAUAAAUAAAAAAUGGAAAAUCUGUGCUUUUUUGCAUGUCAGACUCUGUUCUGGGCACCAAGAAGACAGACUCCCAGAGCCACAAUCCUCAACAGGAAGAGUCACAGCCUGCUGGGUGAGGCAGGUCACAGACCACCAGCCCAACGUCACGAUGGCUCUUGGAAUAAGAGUGAGGAGACACGAACUCUGCCUGGGAUCCUGGAGAAGCUUCCACAGAGGAAAUGGUUAUCCUGUGUUAUAACGAAAGACGGAGACUUUGGAGGUUGGAAAAAAAAAUUGAGAGAGAGACACACAGGAAUAGGUCGAUGAAGCUCUAAGUAUUACUUUUAUUAUUAAUACAGUCAGUCAGAGGAAAUGUCUUCAGAUCUGCAGCCUUGCUAGUACUUUUUUUCCCAGAAGACAAUUUACCCUCCCACCUAUGGACAUCACUGGACAAUUGCUGGACUGCAGGUUAUUUCCUGCAGAGAAGAGAGCAGAUCACAAGGCUUCCUCUCAGCAGGAAGUGAGAUCUGAAUAAAGAGAAGGAAAAACCGAGUUGAGCAUGUCUUGUUUCUUCCCUCAACUCCUCUGUCAGAAAUUCAGCUGCUCAUGUGUUUAGAAGUGAGAUGCUCAGAAAGGAUGAGAUGAAUAGACAUUUCUCCAAAGAAGACACACUGAUGGCCAAGAAGCACAGGAAAGGAUGCUCAACAUCACUAAUUAUUAGAGAAAUGCAAAUCAAAGCUACAAUGAGGUAUCACCUCACACCAGUUAGAGUGGGCAUCCUCAGAAAAUCUACGAACAACAAAUGCUGGAGAGGGUGUGGAGAAAAGGGAACCCUCUUGCACUCUUGGUGGGAAUGUAAAUUGAUACAGCCACUAUGGAGAACAGCAUGGAGGUGCCUUAAAAAACUAAAAAUAGAACUACCAUACAACCCAGCAAUCCCACUCCUGGGCACAUAGCCAGAGAAAACCAUAAUUCAAAAAGACACAUGCACCCCAAAGUUCAUUGCAGCACUAUUUACAAUAGCCAGGUCAUGGAAGCAACCUAAAUGCCCAUCGACAGACGAAUGGAUAAAGCAGAUGUGGUACAUAUCUACAAUUGAAUAUUACUCAGCCAUAAAAAGGAACGAAAUUGGGUCAUUUGUAGAGACAUGGAUGGAUCUAGAGACCGUCAUACAGAGUGAAGUAAGUCAGAAAGAGAAAAACAAAUAUUGUAUAUUAAUUAUAUUGCAUAUAUAUAUAAUAUAUAUAAUAUAUUGCAUAUAUGUGGAACCUAGAAAAAUUGUACAGAUGAACCGGUUUGCAGGGCAGAAAUAGUGGCACAGAUGUAAAGAACAAACGUAUGGACACCAAGCGGGGAAAGUGAUGGGGGUGGUGGUGGUGGUGGUGGGAUGAAUUGGGAGAUUGGGAUUGACAUGUAUACACUGAUAUGUAUAAAACAGAUAACU